UCUUUCUUUCAGGACAUAAAAAAUACCCUGAGCAGGUAUCAGGAGGGGCAACUGAGGCAGGUGGUGGAGCUUUCUCCAGGGCCUGAGGAGGGAUUCAGAAGUUUCUCUCAUAAAAGUCUGGUUCUCAAAAAGGUCAUGGAAGAAACUGAAGAGUCUUUGGAAGAAGCGCUGAGCAAAGGUAAUUUUGUG